rnacentral:siRNA from 1 species
UUCAUCAAGGUGGUCGAGUGGAUC